rnacentral:lncRNA from 1 species
GAUAAAGGAUAAAGUGUAGAGACAAAGAGAUAGCAAGAGAGUCAUCAUCUUAUUUAUUGAUAGGAGCCCUUUAUAUAGGGAAUUACAUAAUACCAAUACGGUAAAGAUAUGAAUACAUAGAUCUAGUCUAACUACAUAUCCUAUUAGCAUAAGGCCAAAGCACACAUAGAGAAUAUCCUAGAACACUCUUAUAUUUUUUAUCUAAAUUUUUUCCUUAAACUUCAUUUUAUGCCCUCUUUAUUUUACUUAAUACUCACCCUUUAACUCAUCAACUUGUUCUUUCUGCCAACCGACUGCUCCUCAUGACACUAUCACUUUAUUUUCUCACCUCUAUGAUCAGUACUACCAAUUCAACUAAAAUCAAAUUGAAUUGGUAAGCAAAUAAAGCUUAACAAACUAUCAACAGAGACAAAGUGAUUGACGAUUUAAAAAAAAUAAAAAAUAUCAUUCAAAUAACCUCUAAGAUUUUCUACAUACAAAAAAAAAAUCUUAAAUUUAAUAUCACCAGGAAGUUUACAGACUGUAGAUUUUAUAGAGGUGUAGAUUUUUUUUUUUGGUGUGGCUAUUUCUACCCCACUAAAUGCUUAGUUCACCCCACGCCUUAUAUUUUACCUUUAACGUUCCAAUUCUGCCCUUAAAUUUUGUGGUUUUUAUUUUCUUUCUUUU